rnacentral:rRNA from 1 species
AGCAGUGGGAAUAUUGCACAAUGGGCGCAAGCCUGAUGCAGCCAUGCCGCGUGUAUGAAGAAGGCCUUCGGGUUGUAAAGUACUUUCAGCAGUGAGGAAGGCGGGUGUGUUAAUAGCACAUUCGUUUGACGUUAGCUGCAGAAGAAGCACCGGCUAACUCCGUGCCAGCAGCCGCGGUAAUACGGAGGGUGCGAGCGUUAAUCGGAAUUACUGGGCGUAAAGCGCAUGCAGGCGGCCUGUUAAGUCAGAUGUGAAAGCCCGGGGCUUAACCUCGGAAUUGCAUUUGAAACUGGCAGGCUAGAGUCUUGUAGAGGGGGUAGAAUUUCAGGUGUAGCGGUGAAAAUGCGUAGAGAUCUGAAGGAAUACCAGUGGCGAAGGCGGCCCCCUGGACAAAGACUGACGCUCAGAUGCGAAAGCGUGGGGAGCAAACAGGAUUAGAUACCCUGGUAG